rnacentral:lncRNA from 1 species
CUGCUUCCUUGCAUCAGGAGAUACAUCUGAUGACCUCACCUGCAUCAUAGGCUGGGUCUUCUGGUCGAGAUUCUCUCGGGCUCUCCCACUUCAUGAGGACUGGUGUAUCAAGAGUUCAGAAUCUAGUCUCUUUCCUUUUACUUACUAGUACUGCACUUACUAAGGAAUAACUUACACUCAAUACAAUUCAUGCUAUUUAACCUUUAUGGAUUUUGACAAAUUCAGGCAAUCAUGUAACUAUCAACUGAAUCCCAACAGAGUUCCUAAAUUCUCUACCUUUUGCAACCCACCCCCUUUUACCUCAGCCUUUGAUAAACAUAGACCCAAUGUCUGUCCCUAUAGAUCUGACUUGUCUGAUUUUUAAAUUAUAUAGCACCAAAACUUUGAGAUUAAAAAAACACAAAUAAACACAACUUUCACAAUGGAAUAAUUUUAAAUUUAUAGGAAAGAUGCAAUGUAACAUAAAGUUUUCAUAUCGUCCUGGCUAGUUUCCUUCUUACUAACAUCCCACAUAACUCUAUGACAAUUGCUAAAAUUUUAAUAACCUACAUUGGCACAGAUAAACUGUCAACUUUGGGAAUCACUGGUUUUCCUAAUAAUGCCAUUUUUUUUUUCUGCUCCAAGUUCCCUUGUGGCAUUUGGUGGCCUUGGAUCUUAAAGUUUUCCUCUCCCAAAGUGGCCUUCAUCAAGAUGUGGAUGCUAUUGAAAGCAGCUGAAAGACAUCUGGGCUGUUUCCAGUUCUGGGAGAUUAUGAAU